GUGCACCCAAAAUGUCUCCCCCGGUCCCCCAGGUCUGGGUUGUGGCGCCGCUGCGGCUUUUGUGAGUCGAGGUGUCCGCGAUCUCCCGCGUGGCCCCCCUCCGGUGCUAGUUGUGGUUCCGGGGUGUUACCUCGGGAUGGGGAAAGCGUAGCGUUUCUUCGCAGCCCCCAUCCCCCAAGCCGGCGACGUUGCGGGCUCUGCGUAGCUGCCGCUGUGACUCACCUCUUUCCUCCCGGCAGAGACCUGUGUGUGGCCGCAGCCUUUAGCUGAGGGCCCUGGACCCCAUCCUUCAUCUCCCUCUCAAGGUGUGUUCUCAGGAGCAGUCCGGCACCAUCUUCGGGUUUGAUUCCAGGAUCCUCGUGUGUAAAUAAGAAUUUUUGAAACCACUUGUGAGAGAGAGUGAGCUGGAGAGCAUAAGCAGGGGAAGCAGGAGAGGGAGAGGAAGAAGCAGGCUCCUGAACAGGGAGCCUGACGCCACUGGGAUCAGGACCCGAGCCGGAGGCAGACACCUAACUGACUGAGCCACCCAGGGCACAGGCCACAGCACAGCUGUGAGGUUCUGGGACUUCUGACAAGUUGGCCUAAGUUACCAGUUCUUACAACAUUAAUCUGCUGAGUCUCUGCCUGAAGGUAUAGUGGAAUCAAGAGUGCAGGAGACUUGCAGAGCUUGGAGGGCUGGACCAGGAUGGAGAGGAGUGAUAAGCCUUGCCCCUGGAAGAUCUGUUGAGCUCGCUGCCUGGAAGACAGGGCACGCGUCCAGGCCCGCCACACGCAGGUUGGCCUCUCCAGCUGGUACAGAGAGAAGUCUGGACCUUCUUCCGUUUGCUGUCAUCUGUGUUUACUGAGUAGACCUUGUGUUGAUUACUGGGACCCAGUGUGUCCGAGGGUUGUGGACUGAACGAAUACCAGGCGCCAGACAUACAGUGCUGCUCCUGUACCUCUGACCCCACGACAAAGGAGGAGAGGCCCUGCGCUUGGCAGCUUCUUGGAACGUCUCAGAAGAUCUGGAGUCCGGAAGGAGAGAACAGGUCUGCAAGGAAGAGAUUCUGUUAAGAGAAUAGAUCUUCAGACUUCUUUCUAUACACAGGAAAGGUAACUGUGUGAGGUGAGGAGUGUAUUACAAUUACCUUAAUUGUGAUCAUCAUUUCACAAUGUGUAUGUAUAUCAAAUCGUAUUACGCACUUUAAUUCUAUACAAUUUUAACAAUUAAAAAGAAAGCUGGGAAAAAAUACAAAUAAAAUGUCAAGCAGAUCCCUUGAUGGGUGGUUCUGUUGAGUUCAGCUUUAUCCUUGCUGACUGUCUGCCUACUGGGUCUGUCAGUUACUAAUAGAGGGAGUGUGGAAAUCCCUCACGUUAAUAGUGGGUAAUCUAUUUCUCUGCAUUUUUGUCAGUUUUUGCCUCUUAUAUUGUGACGCUUUGUUGUAAAGUGCAUAUAUUUCAGAUUAUUGUGUCUUCUCAGAGAAUCGACCCUCCCUUAUUAUGUAACACCCUCUUUAUUCCUUGGAAGUUUCCUUGUUCAAAUGCCUUUUUUGUCUGAAAUUAGUAUCGCUACUCCAGCGUUCAUUUGAUUAGUGCCUCUGGUACCCCUCUCCCCACUCUUUUACUCUCAAUAUUUGUGUGUUUUUGUAUUUAAAUUGGGUUUCUUAUAGACACCAUAGAGUCCGGUCUUGUUUUUCACCUGCCCUUACAGUGUCUUCUUUUAACUGGCGUAUUUAGAGCACGCCCGUUUAAAGUGAUUAUUGAUAGUUGGAUUUAUAUCUACCAUGUUUGUCAAAAUUCUGUAUUUGUUGCACUUGUUCUUUGUUUUUUUCUUAAUCUUCCUGUUUCUGCCUUCUCUUCUAAUUGAGCAUUUUUUAUUAUUCCAUUUUCUCUUCUCUCUCAGCGUAUCAGUUAUAUUUCUUUUUAACUUUUUAGUGGUUUCCCUAGACCUAGACUGCGCAACAUAAAUUUACAACUAAUCUAGGUCCGCCUUCAGACAACACUGCACCACUGUCUGGGCAGUGUGGGUGUAACAGAGAAUCCCCAGCUCCCCACUCCCAUCCCUUCAUAACACUGCUACCGUCUCUUGCACUGACCUCCGCUAUGAUCACCCGUAUGUUGUGGCUGUUAUUCCUUUGAACAGUUGUCCUUUAGAGUAAAUAAGAAAAACAAAAUAUUGUAUUUUAGUCUUCACUUAUGCCUUCUCUGAUACCUUUCCUUUAUUCAUGUAGACUCAAAUUUCUGACUAGUACCAUGCUCCUUCUCUCUGAAGACCAUCUUUAUCGUUGACUGGUGACAAAAAUUCUCUCAGUGCUGUAAGUCUGAGUGUUUCACAUUGAAUUAUGUCUCCCUCCAGAAGUUAUAUGUCAAAGCCCGAGCUCCCAACAUGACUGUAUUUGGAGACGGGGCCUUUAGAAAUGUCAUUGAUGUCACAUGUGGUCAUAAGGGUGGGGCCUUAUGCAAUUUGGCUGGUGUCCUUGUAGGAAGAGGAAGAGACUCAAGGAUGUGCGCGCACGCGCAGGGAGGUCAGGCGGUGCGAGGAGACAGCUGUCUCCAAGCUGAGCAGGAGGCCUCUCGAAAGGCAACACUAAAGCACCUUGAUCUUUGACUUUCAGUCUCCAAAACUGUAGAAAAAUCUACUCUCUUCUUGCUUGCAUGAUUUUUGAAGCAAGUCUGAUGUAAUUCCUGCCUUUGUUCCUCUCUAGAUAAGGUGUUUUUAUCCUUUGACUUUUUAAAAGAUUUUUUUUUGUCUUUGGCUUUAUGCAAUUUGAAUAUGAUAUGCCUAGGGGUGUGUGUAUGUGUGUGUGUGUGUGUUUGUGUGUGUGUGUAGAUAUAUAUUUGUAUGUAGGUAUGUACGUAUAUUGGCAUUUAUCCUGCUCAGUGUUCUCUGAGGUUUCUAGAUUUGUGGUGUGGUUUCUGCCAUUAAUUUUAGAAAAAUCCCAGUCAUUAUUAUGUCAAAUAGUUCUGUUUCUUUCUCUUUUCUUCUACUUUGGAUAGUAUCAUGAUACGUAUGCUAUACCUUUUGUAAUUGCCCCACAGCUAUUAGAUAUUCUGUUCCAAUUUUUAUUGUUUUUUAUCUCUUUACAGUUCAGUUUGGGAAGCUUCUACUGACAUAUCUUCAAGUGCUCUGAUUCUAUCUCCAGCCCUUUCCAAUCAUCUGAUGAUCUAUCAGAUGAUGUAUACUUGAUUUCUGUUUCUAGUCUUUCCUUUAUAUUCUCUCUUAGAGUUUCUCUCUUCAUUUCCAUUACCUGUCUGCUCUUGCAUAUUGUCUACUUCUCCCACUAAAGCCCUCGGCGUAUUAAUCAUAUGUAUUUUUAAUUUCCCUGUCUGAUGAUUUCAAAAUCUCUGCCGUAUCUGAAUCUGGUUCUGACACCUGCUUUGUCUCUUCAGGUUUUUUCUUCUUUCCUUUUAUCAUGCCAUGUACUUUGUUGUUGUUGUUGAAAGCCAGUCGUGAAUUAUCAGGUAUUAGGAAGUAAAUAGGCCUUUGGUAUGAUGUUUAUUUUUACGUGGUUAAGAGAUAAGCUAUAUUUACUGUUUCCUGUCUCUGUAGCAUCAGAGGAUUCAGUUUCCACUAGUGUCUUUGUUUUUGUCCCCCAGCAUCUUUCGUUUCCCUAGAAAACAGUUCUACUGUAGAAUUUGAGCUUACAGUUCUUUUCAGCUGUAAUCCACUAUUAUAAAUCAAGAGCCCUGUUGAUGUUUGGUCAGGUCUAGACUGAGGACACUCAUUCUAGAAUCCUGGGAUUAGGUCUUAGUCUUUUAGUGUACCUGCCCCCCUGGGCUGGGACCUUCUCAGGUGUUUCUUUACCCGCCCCCCGCCCCCCGCCCCCCCCCAACACCUUAUGUGAAGAAGGAAGGCUCAACAGCCUUGAGUUGCUCACUUCCCUUACCCCCAGUCCCGUAAGGUUUCUCCCUCGCUGGGUAAGCCUUUGUUGUGGAGAAUGCUCUUGGCUUCUUUCAAGAUAGUUCUUUCUUGCCUCUCCCUGGCCCAACAGGAAGCAGUUUUGCUCUGCUCCUUAUCAAGAGGAGCUGCGGAGGAUUCUCGGAGUAGACACCAUCAUUGUGGAGUAGGUGGCUACCUUAGAUGGGUCCCCCAGGAGUUUUCAUCUCUCAAGCUAGUCCACAGCUCACUGAAGCUGCCGUUCAAGGCCAGCGCCUCCUGCCUCGGGGGUGCAGCAUUAUAGUCCGUGCAGUCUGAUAUCUCUGUCAUCGCCGGCUCCUCUAGGAUUAGGGUGCAGUUGGUCCCAUGACCUCAAUUCUCUGAUGUCCCCACCAAGACUCAUUGAUUUUUAAUCUGUUCAUAUUUUUUCUUGUUGUGAGGAUGGGAGUAAAGACUUGCAAGCCCUUUAAGUGUUGGUGUAGAAUCUUUCCUUUCGAUUUUAGACAGUGUUUCUGUUAGCUCUUUGGACAUAUUAAAAGAGCUGAUGAAAGUCCUUAUGUAGUAAUUCCAGUGCCUGUGCUUCCUUGGGACAGUUCUAGUUCUGUUGCCUGCUGUCCUCUCCAUACGUGGGCCAUCCUUUUCUGAUUCUUCGUGUGCCUCGUAAAAUUUUAUUAAAAACUGGACAUUUUGAAUAUUGUAAUGUGGCAACACUGGAAAUGAGAUUCCCUUCCUACCGGGCUUCCUUGUUGCCACCUGUUACAGUUCGUGUUUAUUUAGGACUUCUCUGAAUUAAUUCCGCAAAGACUCUCUUCGUUUUUGUAUAUAGUCACUGAAGCCUUGGUUCAGUUAGCUCAGUGUCGGCUAAUGGCGGACGGAGAUUUCCUUGAGUGCCUGGAACAAAUAAAUCUUGCCAUCAUUUCUGAGAGGCUCAGAAUAUAUUUCUAGGAACAUGUGCAGUUACGACAAUACAGACACUGGAAGAUAAGGUUAUGCUUUUCACCUUUAAAGACUAUCAUAGUUUGAUUCUGGAAGUCAGAUGGGGGGCACUGGCGGGCACUGUGUACUUACUCUAGCCAUCGGUAGCAUCUCUUAGGGUUUCUGUACUUCACACUCUUGAUGAAGCUAGAGACAUGUUGUUGCUCCGCACUCGAGUUGACCAAGCUGGAAAGGGAAGCUUCCUGCCCCAUCCUCAGUUUGCCUGCAGCCCAGGUCCAUGGCGCACCUACCACAUGAGAUCCACUCGAUCUUUCUGCUGGGUAAGAAUUUCCUUCUGGGGCUGAAGAAUUUCCUUCUGGGGCUGAAGAGAAUGUUCUGGAAAUAGAUAGUGAGGUUUGAUGCAAGAAUUUAUAAAUAUACUAGAGACCUCUGAAUCGUACAUUUUAAUAGGGUGAACAUGAUGGUAUGUGCAUUGUCUCUCAGUAACAAUGUUAUUUUACAAAAGAAGAAAUAAUACUGUGGAGAGCAUAAAUCCAUCCAUGUACUCAAAAAAUACCAAUGGACCGGCCACCAUUUGACAUUUCUAGGGACUAGGGACCAACAAUUGAACACAAAUUCUUUCCCUUGUAGGCCAUAUAUUCUGGUAUUAGACAAAAAGCAGUGAGGUAGCUUUUCGUAAUAUCUCUGUAUAAUAUCUUAAGAAGAUAAGCAUGCUCAAGAGUAUCAAAUAAUUUGAUUUACGGCUUCCUAACUGCCCUUCAUGUAUGAUCUAGUCUGUAGUUUCUGCUCAUUAGGGUCCCAAAAAGCAACAAGUAAACUUUUCUCAAAACAAACACGAUAGCGAAACUUUACACAGAAUUGCCAAAACAUUGAAGGAACCAAGAUGUCCUUCACUAGGUGAACGGCUGAAUAAGCGGUGGUACAUGCAGACAGUGAAAUAUUAUUUAGCAUGAAAAAGAAAUGAGCUAUCAACCCAUGAAAAGACACGGAAGAACCUUAAAUGCAUUACUAAGUAUUUGAAAAGGCUCCAUCCUGUAGAAUUCCAACCAUAGGACAUUCUAGAAAAGACAGAAUCAGGGAGACACAAAAAGUUCAGUGGUUGCCAAGGGUUGGGGUCAUUGGGAUGGUGAGCAGGCGGAGCACAGGAGUUCCGGGGCCACGCGACCCUGUUACUGUCCUGGUGGCCACGCAGCGGUACUGGUUUGUUCACAGCCACAGACUACACAACAUCAAGAGUCCUCUGGUUUCUUCUCCAGACUCCCGUGGAGUCUCUCUCUCCUCCUCACUCCUGAUAUUCAACCACAUGGCGUCUUCUACAAAAUAUGAAACUCUCCUAACUCAGGAUCUUUGCCCAGAACCUUUCAUCUGGCUUACUCGUAUUUAUCCUUCAAGUUCAGCUUUCGUGUUCAUCCAUCUCUUGGAGUAGCCGUUUUGACCUCACAGCCUCUGUCUGAAUCCAUUGUAUUCUCUCCUUGUACCAUGUCCCUUAUUGGACGCACUGACCACCAUCUGUGUAUUUACUCGUUUACUGUCUGGGCCCCCAGCUGGGUGGCCCGUUUGAUGAGCGUAAGGAAGGCGUCUGCCUUGUGCACUGAUGUAUUCCCAGCACAUAGCCCGGGGCCCAGCUGGAGUAGGUGCUCAGUGCACCUGCUGACUGUGAACAAAUGAAUGGACUUGGUGAGGUUGGUGUUACUAGCUUAGAGUACUUUAGCCACUCACCCGCUGCCACACAGCUAGCAAGUGGACAGAAAUGGAGGAGGCCUCAGAAGUAUAGUUCCUAGGUUACUAUACCAUCUGGGAAAGUAUUUGCUAAGAAAAGAGGGAUGGGGCAUGGAAAGGGCAGUGGAGAAGAUUCCAGAACAGUGACUCUCAGGGAGAUGGUCCCAGGUAUGGUGGAUGGGGUGAGAAUGUGCAAGCUGCAUAUUCAGUAUUUUACUUUUGUUGAGAAAUAUCUUCUGUUUUCAUAAAACAGACUGCUGAGACUAUCCUUUCCCCUGGCUCGGAAGGAGAAUAGGAAAUACAGCGCUUUUCCUCUAAAGGGCAGAUUUGUUUGGUUUUCCAGAAGGAAGCAGGUUUCAAAGUCGAUAGGGAAACCGCCGCCCUAGGGCUUUCUAGCAUUUCCUGAAGCAGAGCAGAGGUCUGUGGGGCAUGGGACCCCUCACAGAGGGGAAGGUGGGUCUUGGCGACACCUGUCAGGCUUCAUGUCCCCCCCCCCCACUGCCUGCCCUCCACACCCUGCCUUCUGCCCAUUGCUCAGAGGCCACACGCCUCUCCAACCGCAGCCCUCCCUUUCACCCGCGUCACCUCCGUGGGCUUAGCCUCUGCCCUCCGCCUGGACUAGGCUGCUUGUCAUUCUCUCUGCUGGGCGGUGAGAACCCGUGUUUCUCGCUGAGAUUAGUUUCGGUGGCCCUAUGGCCGUCUGAGAAAGGAAGGCUGGGUAGUCCAUGAAUCAAAUCCAAGGGCGGACAGUUGAUCUGAAGGGAGAAACCAACGUGGUACGGCAUAAGGGCGGCGGUGGGGACUGUGUUUGGGUAGAGGCUUCUGUUUCUUUCUCGGCUUGGAUCGUGAGGUGUGUUGUUUUGGCAUGUUGUGGUUUUUUGUCUGUCCACUUGUUAAUAUAUAGGUUAAAACUAGUCUUUCUGGGAGAGGACCCUUAUUUAUCUAGAGUGAUUUCACACAUUUUUGGUGAGAUGCAGUAGCAUUCCCUUUUCAAAGGACUGAUGGGAAGGGAAGAGUGAGAACAACUUCUUAUGCCAAAGAAACCAGAUACGGUGUGAGGAGACUGUUCAUCGACAUUUAAAUCCCCACCUACCGUUUUUGUUUUUAAGAACUUCGCUAGGAAGGAAAUUGACUAAGUCAGAGCUGGGAGGAACUUUUGAAAAGAACCCAGCUUCUCAUUAUUGUAUAUACGGAACAAGAGGCCCAGAGAGGGUACGUAACUUGUCCAAAGUCACAGAGCACUUCAGAGUGGCUGGGGCCGAUUUCUAGCCUGGAGCUCAAGUGGGAAGCAGUAUCUCUUAGUGAAAGGAAAGUCGUGUGAUUUUUAAAGAGUUUCUUCUAUUUUUUGUUAUACGGUUAUUGUAAGAGAAGUUGGAAGAACUUAGUGUUUUAAUUUCUCUGGAGUCCUAACCACUUCAAAAUGAUCAUUGUUAGUAUUUUUGCUGUGUAAUUUUCCAGAUCUUUCAAUGUAUAUGUAUCCUGGCAAAAAUGUUGUAUUUAUUAAAAUUGGAUCACACUGUGCAUACUUCUCUGUAAUGUAAUUCGUAACAGAUGCUUAACUUAUUGUAUUGAGUGAAUGUACCUUUGUUAAUUUAAUCAGUGCCCUAGAUAGACAUAUAAGCUUUUUCAGAUGUUAAGCUCUUACAAGAUGCUGCAUUAAAGAUUUUUGUUUGUACCUUU